UACGUAGGGUGCAAGCGUUGUCCGGAAUUAUUGGGCGUAAAGAGCUCGUAGGCGGUCUGUCACGUCGGCUGUGAAAACCCGGGGCUCAACCCCGGGCCUGCAGUCGAUACGGGCAGACUAGAGUGCGGUAGGGGAGACCGGAAUUCCUGGUGUAGCGGUGAAAUGCGCAGAUAUCAGGAGGAACACCGGUGGCGAAGGCGGGUCUCUGGGCCGUAACUGACGCUGAGGAGCGAGAGCGUGGGGAGCGAACAGG
rnacentral:rRNA from 1 species